rnacentral:rRNA from 1 species
ACGCUCGACACCUACGGGAGGGCAGCAGUGGGGAAUAUUGCACAAUGGGGGAAACCCUGAUGCAGCGACGCCGCGUGAGUGAAGAAGUAUUUCGGUAUGUAAAGCUCUAUCAGCAGGGAAGAAAAUGACGGUACCUGACUAAGAAGCCCCGGCUAACUACGUGCCAGCAGCCGCGGUAAUCUGAGCGGGCUGGCAAGGC